CCUACGGGAGGCAGCAGUGAGGAAUAUUGGUCAAUGGGCGCGAGCCUGAACCAGCCAAGUAGCGUGAAGGAUGACUGCCCUACGGGUUGUAAACUUCUUUUAUAAAGGAAUAAAGUGCGGCACGUGUGCCUUUUUGCAUGUACUUUAUGAAUAAGGAUCGGCUAACUCCGUGCCAGCAGCCGCGGUAAUACGGAGGAUCCGAGCGUUAUCCGGAUUUAUUGGGUUUAAAGGGAGCGUAGAUGGGUUGUUAAGUCAGUUGUGAAAGUUUGCGGCUCAACCGUAAAACUGCAGUUGAUACUGGCAGUCUGGAGUACAGUUGAGGUAGGCGGAAUUCGUGGUGUAGCGGUGAAAUGCUUAGAUAUCACGAAGAACUCCGAUUGCGAAGGCAGCUUACUAGACUGCAACUGACGUUGAUGCUCGAAAGUGUGGGUAUCAAACAGGAUUAGAUACCCUAGUAGUC
rnacentral:rRNA from 1 species